rnacentral:tRNA from 1 species
UUCGAAAUCCGGGUGACGCUACGGACUUAAUUGGAUUGAGCCUUGGUAAAAAUCCGUCGACUUUUAAAAUCGUGAUGGGUUCAAGUCCCUCCUAUCCCCAAAAAAGCCUAUUUGACUCUAAAAAAAUUUAUCCUAUCCCCCCUUUUUCGUUAGCAGUUCAAAAUUCCUUUAUCUUUCUAAUUGUUUUACAAAUGUAUUUG